rnacentral:rRNA from 1 species
UAGCCGUAAACGAUACUCGCUGGGUGUCGGCCACGGUGCGACCGUUGUCGGUGCCGUAGGGAAGCCGUGAAGCGAGCCACCUGGGAAGUACGGCCGCAAGGCUGAAACUUAAAGGAAUUGGCGGGGGAGCACAACAACGGGUGGAGCUUGCGGUUUAAUUGGAUUCAACGCCGGAAAUCUUACCGGGACCGACAGCAACAUGAAGGCCAAGCUGAAGACUUUGCCGGAUUAGCUGAGAGGUGGUGCAUGGCGUAGUCGUGU